rnacentral:rRNA from 1 species
AUUGGACAAUGGGCGCAAGCCUGAUCCAGCCAUACCGCGUGGGUGAAGAAGGCCUUCGGGUUGUAAAGCCCUUUUGUUGGGAAAGAAAUCCAGCCGGCUAAUACCUGGUUGGGAUGACGGUACCCAAAGAAUAAGCACCGGCUAACUUCGUGCCAGCAGCCGCGGUAAUACGAAGGGUGCAAGCGUUACUCGGAAUUACUGGGCGUAAAGCGUGCGUAGGUGGUUGUUUAAGUCUGUUGUGAAAGCCCUGGGCUCAACCUGGGAACUGCAGUGGAAACUGGACGACUAGAGUGUGGUAGAGGGUAGCGGAAUUCCUGGUGUAGCAGUGAAAUGCGUAGAGAUCAGGAGGAACAUCCAUGGCGAAGGCAGCUACCUGGACCAACACUGACACUGAGGCACGAAAGCGUGGGGAGCAAACAGGAUUAGAUACCCUGGUAGUCCACGCCCUAAACGAUGCGAACUGGAUGUUGGGUGCAAUUUGGCACGCAGUAUCGAAGCUAACGCGUUAAGUUCGCCGCCUGGGGAGUACGGUCGCAAGACUGAAACUCA